GGGGGAGCGCCGAAGCCGGAGAGUCGGGCUGGACUGUAAAUCCAGUGCCUCGUUGCUGAGUGGGUUCGACUCCCACCUCCCCCA
rnacentral:tRNA from 1 species